GACGAACGCUGGCGGCGUGCCUAAUACAUGCAAGUCGAACGAGAGCGACCGGUGCUUGCACUGGUCAAUCUAGUGGCGAACGGGUGAGUAACACGUGGGGAACCUGCCCAUCAGAGGGGGAUAACAUCCGGAAACGGAUGCUAAAACCGCAUAGGUCUUCGAACCGCAUGGUUUGAAGAGGAAAAGAGGCGCAAGCUUCUGCUGAUGUAUGGACCCGCGGUGCAUUAGCUAGUUGGUGAGGUAACGGCUCACCAAGGCCGUGAUGCAUAGCCGACCUGAGGGGGGGAUCGGCAAAAUUGGGACUGGGAAACGGCCAAAACUCCUACGGGAGGCAGCGGUAGGGAAUCUUCGGCAAUGACCGCAAGUCGGACGGAGCAAGGCCGCGUGAGUGAGGAAGGUUUUCGGAUCGUAAACCUCUGUUGUUAGGGAAGAACAAGUGCUAGAGUAACUGUUAGCGCAUUGACGGUAUCUAACCAGAAAGCCACGGCUAACUACGUG
rnacentral:rRNA from 1 species